rnacentral:sRNA from 1 species
CGUCCUUGUGAUAAUGACGGAAAAAGCCGAAAAUACUUUAACUGCACUCACUUUGUGUAAAUAACACACACGUAUCGGCACAUCCGCCGGGGUGCCCUGAGGUGAUUUAUCACCGCCAGGGUCGGCGUUAUGGGAUACGUGGAGGCAUAACC